GGGCUCACUUUGGCAGUACAUAUACCAAAAAUGGAAUGAUACACAGAAGAUUAGCGUGGCCACUGUACAAAGAAGACACAUAAUUUUUUUUUUUAGAUUUAUUUAUUUAU
rnacentral:snRNA from 1 species